rnacentral:lncRNA from 1 species
CUCACCCCGUCCUCGCGGCCGCCGCCGGCGUUUCCGUCGAAUUGAUCUAGGUUACUCUAGAGGCCCCUCGAUCGAGUCGGAGUCUCGACGACGCCUUCCCGCAUUGGCUUGGCGAGCGGAGAAGCCAAGGAGUUCCUCCCAGCUGGCGCGUGGGACCCGCUCGCCAGCCACACGUCGCGGCCCUUUUGCUCCCCCUUCCAUCCAUUGGUAAACUCACGACGUCCUUUUCGCUGCUUCCGUUGCGUGUGCAGGCUGUUUCUUCAAGGGCUGGAGAGGUACGGGCGCGGGGACUGGCGCAACAUCUCGCGGUUCUCGGUGCGGACGCGGACGCCGGCGCAGGUCGCCAGCCACGCGCAGAAGUACUUCAACCGGCGGCUCAACCC